AUUGAACGCUGGCGGCAGGCUUAACACAUGCAAGUCGAACGGUAACAUAAAGAAGCUUGCUUCUUUGAUGACGAGUGGCGGACGGGUGAGUAAUGCUUGGGAAUCUAGCUUAUGGAGGGGGAUAACUACGGGAAACUGUAACUAAUACCGCGUAGAAUCGAGAGAUGAAAGUGUGGGACCUUCGGGCCACAUGCCAUAGGAUGAGCCCAAGUGGGAUUAGGUAGUUGGUGAGGUAAAGGCUCACCAAGCCGACGAUCUCUAGCUGGUCUGAGAGGAUGACCAGCCACACUGGGACUGAGACACGGCCCAGACUCCUACGGGAGGCAGCAGUGGGGAAUAUUGCGCAAUGGGGGCAACCCUGACGCAGCCAUGCCGCGUGAAUGAAGAAGGCCUUCGGGUUGUAAAGUUCUUUCGGUAGCGAGGAAGGCAUUUAGUUUAAUAGACUAGGUGAUUGACGUUAACUACAGAA
rnacentral:rRNA from 1 species